rnacentral:pre_miRNA from 1 species
AAUAAGAUUAUUUUUCAGUUUUUUCAUACAAUGUUUUAACUCUUCGUCUUAUUUAAAAUUUCUUUAUGAUUAAUAUUUUUAUUCUUACUAGAUGAUAAAAUAUAAAUAGUACUCUAUGUGUGACUAGUUUUUUAAGUUUUUGUAUAUUUUUUCAAAUAAGAUGAAUGAUCAAACAUUAGAUACGAAAAA